GACGAACGCUGGCGGCGUGCUUAACACAUGCAAGUCGAACGGAAAGGCCCUGCUUGCAGGGUACUCGAGUGGCGAACGGGUGAGUAACACGUGGGUGAUCUGCCCUGCACUUCGGGAUAAGCUUGGGAAACUGGGUCUAAUACCGGAUAGGAACCAUCUUUAGUGUGGUGGUUGGAAAGUUUUUUCGGUGUAGGAUGAGCUCGCGGCCUAUCAGCUUGUUGGUGGGGUAAUGGCCUACCAAGGCGGCGACGGGUAGCCGGCCUGAGAGGGGGUACGGCCACAUUGGGACUGGGAUACGGCCCAGACUCCUACGGAGGCAGCAGUGGGGAAUAUUGCACAAUGGGCGCAAGCCUGAUGCAGCGACGCCGCGUGGGGGAUGAAGGCCUUCGGGUUGUAAACUCCUUUCGCUAGGGACGAAGCUUUGUUGUGACGGUACCUAGAUAAGAAGCACCGGCUAACUACGUG
rnacentral:rRNA from 1 species